rnacentral:rRNA from 1 species
GUCUCUCUUUUCUUCUUUGGCUGUCCGAGUUGUAAUCUAGAGAAGUGCUUACCCGUGCUGCACCAUGUACAAGUCUCCUGGAAUGGAGCGUCGUAGAGGGUGAGAAUCCCGUCGUUGACAUGGACUUGCCAGUGCAUAGUGGUGCGCUCUCAAAGAGUCGAGUUGUUUGGGAAUGCAGCUCUAAAUGGGUGGUAAACUCCAUCUAAAGCUAAAUAUUGGCGAGAGACCGAUAGCGAACAAGUACCGUGAGGGAAAGAUGAAAAGCACUUUGGAAAGAGAGUUAAACAGUAUGUGAAAUUGUUGAAAGGGAAACACUUGAAGUCAGUUGUGUCUGCUUAGGGAUCAACUCAGCUGAUUUUGCUGCGUGAACUUCCUAGUGUGACAGGCCAACAUCAGUUCUGACUGUUGGAAAAGGGCAGAGGGAAUGUGCCACCUUUGGGUGUGUUUUAUAGCCUUUUGUCAUAUAUAGCAGUCGGGACUGAGGAAUUGCAGCGCGCCGCGAGGGGGCAGGGUCUUUUGACCACGUUCGCGCUUAGGAUGUUGGCGUUUAAUGGCUUCAAUUGACCCGUCUUGAAACACGGACCAAGGAGUCUAACAUGCCUGCGAGUGUUUGGGUGAAGAAACCCUUGUGCACAAUGAAAGUGAAAGUUGAGAUCCCUGUCGUGGGGAGCAUCGACGCCCGGACCGGAGCUUUUAGCGAUGGAUCUGCGGUAGAGCAUGCAUGUUGGGACCCGAAAGAUGGUGAACUAUGCCUGAAUAGGGCAAAGCCAGAGGAAA